rnacentral:rRNA from 1 species
AGAGUGAACGCUGGCGGUAGGCCUAACACAUGCAAGUCGAACGGCAGCACAGUGGUAGCAAUACCAUGGGUGGCGAGUGGCGGACGGGUGAGGAAUACAUCGGAAUCUACCUCUUCGUGGGGGAUAACGUAGGGAAACUUACGCUAAUACCGCAUACGCCCUUCGGGGGAAAGCCGGGGAUCGCAAGACCUGGCGCGGAUAGAUGAGCCGAUGUCGGAUUAGCUAGUUGGUGAGGUAAUGGCUCACCAAGGCGACGAUCCGUAGCUGGUCUGAGAGGAUGAUCAGCCACACUGGAACUG